CCCUAAGCUGAUGCUGGCUUUUCAUUUCUGCACCAGGGUGGCCUGUACCUAACUGCUGCAGGAUGUUUGUUGAGUGAAUGAGUGAUUGCCACAUUCUGGGCAGGAGAUUGUCCAGACCAGCAGAAUGCCAGUUCCUUCCAGGGAGGGCACAUACUUGUACAGACAGGUCUGCAGUCCCUGAUGAAUAAUGAGCUCUGAGCAAAGUAAACUUGGCACUAUGUCAGUGGUCUCCACAUAGCUCCCCUCAGCUGAAACAUGGAAGUCCGGCAUGGUGACACGUGUCUCUAGCCCCAGCAUUCCAAAGAAUCGCAAGCUUGAGCCCAGCCUGGGAAACUUAGUGACUUUGUGAGACCCUAUCUCAAAAAAAAAAGAAAAAAGAGGGGCCUGGAAUUGUAGCUCAGUUGAAGGCUCUGGGUUCAAUCCCCGGUGUCACAAACAAACAAAUAAAAAACCAAGAAAAUAUAGGAAGAGCUUGUCCCAGGGGUUCACUCCAGGUCCUGUUCUUCCGCACAGUGGACUCCUGCUGGAUGUGGUGUUGCUAUCUGACUGGACACUCAAGCUGUUUAGUGGGAGAUCUCUCAUCCUCAGUGGCAGCAUGGACCCCAGUGCCAAGGAACUCCCAGAAGACAAAGUUACACGUAAUCAACUUCAGCCCCAAACAGACCAAAAAGCCCUCAUUCUAGGGACAUAGGCCAUGUCCCCCAAGAGGCGGAAGGAAGGGGAAUGGAAUAUGUUCCAGGAUAAUUCCACUGAAUGCUCCAACUCUGCUGUUUGCCAGGGGGGCUCAGCCUUUGGCUGUGCUUUUCAGGUGCAUCUCAGGGACUCCUCAGGGGCUCAGUGCCUCCUCUCCUGGGGUUUUCUUGUUAGCUUUGCUCAAUUUAAUAUCAAGCUCCUGUUGGCCAGUUAUUGGGGGUAUGAAGACUUAUAGAUGAGCAUUGCUCUUCUUAGGUCUAGUUGAAUAGGGAAGUUGCUUUUUAGUUUUAGUACAAGAAGGUGGCCCCAGGUCAAGUUCCUACUGCUUGUGCUUACAGAGGAGAAAACUUCCUUCCCAGAGCAAGGGGUACUACCCAUGGGGUACUGAGGACUCCAUAGGACCACCUUUCCUACACCGUCUCCCAGUGAGGUCAGACUCCGUGUACCAGUGGCCUUGUCAUCUGUAAUCAAGGAGGGAUUGCCCACUUACCAACCACCUGAAAGACGGUUUCCCUUUCCCUGCUGGGGCUCUGUAGGGUCCUCAGCACAUAAGCAUGUCUCAGAGCAUCACUGGGAGGUGCCCAACAUGAAGGGACAUGUCUAGUUUUACAGUAUGCAUGGAGAGUUUGUCACACAGACCUGUCCAUUAGAUCUAGACCCUUACUAAAAGUAUCCUGGAUAAUAAAUCAUCAUUUCUUAUUAAAUGAAGAGGCAUCCCCUUUCUCAGCAUGGCUGUUCUCUUGUAAUCAUGAUAAAUGGCAAAUCCCGGACAGGUGAAUUUUAAUAGGCAUACAAAUGCACUCAGAUUAAUUAGAUUACAUUUUUAAAAAACUUUUCUCUUUUGCUCCAUAAAUCUAAAUGGGGGCCUCUAAAAGAUAAUAGCUAUCCACACACUAAAAUACAUUAUGACACAAUAAAAGAUUAUUGAUGCACAUAUGCAGUUAGACGUUAUGUUGGACACAGCAGAAUGGCAUACAGAUGUGGUGGGAGCUGUUCUGAAGUGAGCAUUUGCUGGCUGUGGUUAAUGGGACCUCCCUGGCCAAAAAAGUGUGCGGGGUGAGUGGACGGAUGGAACUCAGUGUCUAUUUCUACCUCCGAGCAGAUCUCUGAAGUUGGCAAUAUUUCCCUUUCAAAAGCAAGUGGCUAGAUUAGAGACAUAUUGUGCAAACCCUGGUCGUUAUCUUCUGGCUGAGAAAUAAAAGAUACUGUCUGACGGCCACAGAGAACUGUGGUGUUGGGGGGAGAACAGCGUCAGCAGAUAAGCCUUGAGACUGAGGAGGCCCAGCUGUCACUUCUUUUCCCCCAUUAAGUUUAUUGGUACAUUUUAGGUAUAAAAUAGAGUUACAUUCAUCAUAC